AUGAUGGAGGAGCACAUUCGUGAAUCACGUCGCUCCGUCUGGGUCUGUUUCUGGGAUGUUGCUGAAUCACAUCUGGAGCUCUUUCAGGCAUCUGGUUCUAUUCGGGACAAACCCACUCACUUUCUCAGCACGCUCGGGGUCUUUCCCUCUGCGCUGCUCCGUCCUGUCCCUGUGCAGCACAGGAAGCGAAUGUGGAUGAUGGUGGCCUACUGGAAUAUUAACGAAGGUUCAGCAAAGUCAGCAGGGUGCACGCGUGUGUGUGUGUGUGUGUGCUUUAUUCACAGCACCCAAAGCUCCAUUCAAAUUGAGUGAGCCAGGUUUUUCAAAAGCAGUACAAUAGCACAUUGUAACAUACAGUUGUUGUGUACAACAUUCUUUGCAGUUGAAUAAUAACAAUAUCCAUAGUAGUGCACAACGUUGAGUGUCCUCUUGCUUUAUUAAAAUGAGGAAUAUGAUGCAAAACAACAAUGUUCAACUGUUGCAAAUAGUUAAAUAUGUAAAUUUACGAAUAAUAAUAGUCACCAAAUUUUUUAUUUAAUUAUUAAUUUUUGCAUUUUUUUCCCACUUAUCGAUAAUCACAAGACUGCCUAAAAAUUGUAAGACUAUGGGUUGGUAAAUAUCCUAAAUGUUGUUUAUCAGGUGAAGAUAAUAACAAUUUUAGGCAUUACACAGAUUUUUGAUCUUUAUUUAAUAAACACCAUAAUAAACACCUUAACUUACAUUUUUUAUCUUUUAACUUGUUGUUCAGUGAGUGCAUUGAUGUGUCUGUGUGUUUUUUUACAUCAAAAAGUGAAGAAAAUCCAUGUGUUCUAAAUUUUUUUUUUUUUUUUUGUUGCUUGUUUACGUUAUUUUUUAGUUGGAAUUUACACUCAUUUUUUUUUUUUUUUUUUUUUUUUUUUUUUUUUUUUUUUUUUUAGAGAAGCUUCCUAUGUUUUGUAACAUAAAUGUCUUUACUGUCACUUUUUAUCACUGUAAAGCAUCCUUGCAGAAUAAAAGGAAUUAUUAAAAAAAAAAAUCUUACUGACCUUAUACUUUUAAACUGUUGUUAGCACAAAAAAAUUAUAUAAUCAAUUCCUGCAUUACAAGCUCAGUUAAUGCUCAUUAGUGUGCUCCGUGUAAUUGUUGAAUGCUUUCCCUUCAUCUGUGGCAUUGCGUCAAUGUUACAUUGAGGACUUUUGAGUCUCAGGAGAGUCUGUGGUUUGAGUUUAGGCUCAAUGAGGCUUGAGGGAACUUCCUCUUCCCGCUGCAGGCCUAUUUGCACACUGAUGCAAGCUCGAUUCCCAAAAGACCUGCUGCCACUUCCAAGAGCGCUAAAUAUACUGUACACCGACCACAUCCAUCAGUGUGGAACAGCUGAGCUGACAUUUCUUCAAAACCUCAGGGGUUGACACAUUUCUUGUACUUGCAAUCAAUGACUUAGAUUGUAAUAUAAGUAGUUCAUUUACUCACAAAAAAUUGUAAUGUUUAAACUUUUAAUUAAAUACUUCCAUGAAAUUUGAAUGGAGAAAAUGAAAAAGAGUUGGCGUCCACCGUUGCUUGUAUAUGCUGUGAUGAAUAUCAGUGUGUAUAGGAUGGACUGCACUAGCUUCCUGUCACGUGACUGGCGUACGCUGGUUUACAUCACAUUUGGAAAGUUUAUCAAACAUCCUGGUCAGGGUGACAGCAUGGUGACGUCUAGAGCUUAUUAUUGAACCCAAUUUUCAGGAAGCACCUGGAGGAAGGAGAGAUGAGCAUAACCUGUGACCUGUGGCCUCCCUCUGGUUUUGUUCAGUUCAUGGUGUUAUUAUUUGCUCUUCCUAGAAGUUCUGCGGAAGCUAUAGAGCCUCAGUCCGUCCACUGAGUCAGUCUUGGGGUGCACAGUGUGUGUGUGUGUAUGUGUGUGUGUGUACAUUUAAUUUAAAAAAUUUUUACACAUGGUAUAGAAUUUUAAUAUCAGACAUUUAUCAGUUGUCAAGAAUAACAAAGAUUUUCACCUUUACAAGCAAUUUUGUAGAAUGAUUUUGCUGCAAAAAGAGA
rnacentral:lncRNA from 1 species